GGGUGUUCGGGGACGGGGUCGCCUUCGGCUCCAAGCCGGAGCAAGCCCGGUUGAGGAUGCCGGGGGCAUCCUC
rnacentral:tRNA from 1 species